rnacentral:rRNA from 1 species
AUGCAAGUCGAGCGGUAACAUUUCUAGCUUGCUAGAAGAUGACGAGCGGCGGACGGGUGAGUAACACUUAGGAAUCUACCUAGUAGUGGGGGAUAGCUCGGGGAAACUCGAAUUAAUACCGCAUACGACCUACGGGAGAAAGGGGGCAUCUUGAUGCUCUCGCUAUUAGAUGAGCCUAAGUCGGAUUAGCUAGAUGGUGGGGUAAAGGCCUACCAUGGCGACGAUCUGUAGCUGGUCUGAGAGGAUGAUCAGCCACACCGGAACUGAGACACGGUCCGGACUCCUACGGGAGGCAGCAGUGGGGAAUAUUGGACAAUGGGGGCAACCCUGAUCCAGCCAUGCCGCGUGUGUGAAGAAGGCCUUUUGGUUGUAAAGCACUUUAAGCAGUGAAGAAGACUCAAUGGUUAAUACCCAUUGACGAUGACAUUAGCUGCAGAAUAAGCACCGGCUAACUCUGUGCCAGCAGCCGCGGUAAUACAGAGGGUGCAAGCGUUAAUCGGAAUUACUGGGCGUAAAGCGAGCGUAGGUGGCUUGAUAAGUCAGAUGUGAAAUCCCCGGGCUUAACCUGGGAACUGCAUCUGAUACUGUUAGGCUAGAAUAGGUGAGAGGAAGGUAGAAUUCCAGGUGUAGCGGUGAAAUGCGUAGAGAUCUGGAGGAAUACCGAUGGCGAAGGCAGCCUUCU